rnacentral:rRNA from 1 species
CCUACGGGUGGCAGCAGUGAGGAAUAUUGGUCAAUGGACGAGAGUCUGAACCAGCCAAGUAGCGUGAAGGAUGACGGCCCUAUGGGUGGUAAACUGCGUUUAUAGGGGAAUAAAAUGUGCCACGUGUGGGAUUUUGUAUGUACCAUAUGAAUAAGGAUCGGCUAACUCCGUGCCAGCAGCCGCGGUAAUACGGAGGAUCCGAGCGUUAUCCGGAUUUAUUGGGUUGAAAGGGAGCGUAGGGGGAUUGUUAAGUCAGUGGUGAAAGUUUGCGGCUCAACCGUAAAAUUGCAGUUGCAACUGGCAGUCUUGAGUACAGUCGCGGUGGGCGGCAUUCGUGGUGUAGCGGU